GGCAUAAUGCAAAGGACACUGUAGUGUACAUAUAUUAUUGUAGUACUUACUUCACUCUUUUGGCGAGGUUGUUAAAGGGACACGUGGGUAGAAAUUGUUAGGUGCUUCAGGAAUCGUAUCAAUGCAAAUAGUCACAGGUAAACAGGAAAGGAUAAGGGUUCAAUUUACCAGAAACCCUUGGAUUUACAGUCAGGUGGGAGAUACACAACUAGCUGUGGAAUGCAGAAGCAGAAAAAGUUGAGACAUAAUAACAGGAAACAGGCAAGCACGUGAAGAUGGACACCAGCUCUACAAGAUCUGUGCCCAUAAAGAGAGGCUAUACUCGAACCAAUGGAGAGAGAAAGAGAGGAUGUGUCUGGAGGGUUGUAACUGGUCCAUGAACAACAGCAACAACUUGCAUUAUAUAAUGCUUUUAACAUAGUAAAAUAUCCGAAGGUGUUUUACAGAAAUAUGAUCGAACAAAAAUUGGGCCAAAGAAGGAGAUAUUAAGAGAGGCAACUAAAUGCUUGGAUGAAAAGGAAUGUUUUAGGGAGCAUAUUAGGAGGAGCGAAGUAGAAUCAUGGAGAGAUUCAGGGAGGGCAUUUCAGAGUUUAGGAUCUAGAUGACUGAAAGCAUGGCCAUCAAUAGUGGGGCAAUGGAAGUGGUGGUACACCAGAGGUCAGUAUUGGUGGAAUGCUGACUUCUCACAGGGUCAUAGGACUGGAGAAGGUUACAGAAAUAGAGAGGGGUGUGGUCAAGGAAGGAUUUGAACACAGGAAAGUAUCGUAUGUAAUGGACUCAUUUGCAAAAGAGGAAUAGAAGUAAAGAUCUCCUGAAGACAGAUUGUGUCUACCAGAUAAGGAACUGGCACCAUGCACAGCUUAGAAUUUCAGUUAGAGGGGUCUACAUUGGAAGGUUCACUGAGCAUAUGUGCACAGGAAAAAGGGCGGGCAAUGGAUGGCUCCCAAUCAGCCCACUGAAGGUUGAGUCUGUAUCCCAGUCCUGCUGCAAAGGCCUCAGAUGUUGACUUCAAGGGCCCAGAUUAAAGGCCUAAAGAUGGAUGAAGAGACCCAACCAGCAUCAAUGAAGUGGAAAAGUCAGUGGGUGUCAAAGUGCAGUUGCUGGUGUUGUGUGGUAGCACCACAUAGUCAGGUGGCAGAAAAAUAAACUGAAGAAAAUAAUUAUAAAUCAUCAGCAGUAGUAAUUGCUGUCAACCCUGGGGAGGAGGCAUAAAAAGAAAGUAACUAGAGUUAGAAAGAUAAUGUGAUAGUAUGAUCAACAUUGAGAGGAAGAGUAGUAGGUUUAACAGUAUUAGAAGUAGUCCUUACCAAUCUUACAAGAGAAUUUUUAAAUGAGGACAACAGAAAAUAAGUGUAAUGAAAAGUCAAGAAUGUCAAUUUUAAAAUAAUAAUUAGGCUAUGGAAAUACAUUACAUAUUGGUCCUAAUAGAAAACUAUGAAGCAUAUAUUUGCAAGAAAAUACACUGAGGUUGAUGCUGCAGCCUUGUAAAACAUUUCUCCUGUUUUAGUCAAAGUCUUCGAAGCAACUCAUGAAAAUGAAUAAAAUUAUCUGUUGAAAUUG